rnacentral:rRNA from 1 species
GAACGAGAAAGUGGAGCAAUCCAUGAGUAAAGUGGCGACCGGGUGAGUAACACGUGACUAACCUGCCUUCGAGUGGGGGAUAACCUCGGGAAACCGGGGCUAAUACCGCAUAAUGCCUUUGGGUUAAAGGAGCAAUUCGCUUGAAGAGGGGGUCGCGGCUGAUUAGCUAGUUGGCGGGGUAACGGCCCACCAAGGCGAUGAUCGGUAGCCGGCCUGAGAGGGCGCACGGCCACACUGGAACUGAAACACGGUCCAGACUCCUACGGGAGGCAGCAGUGGGGAAUUUUGCGCAAUGGGGGAAACCCUGACGCAGCAACGCCGCGUGGAGGAUGAAGUCCUUUGGGACGUAAACUCCUUUCGACCGGGACGAUAAUGACGGUACCGGUGGAAGAAGCCCCGGCUAACUUCGUG